UCCCGGAGUCGCCUCUUCACUGUUGACGUUGAGACUGGUGUUUUGCGGGUACUAUUUAAUGAAGCUGCCAGUUGAGGACUUGUGAGGCGUCUGUUUCUCAAACUAGACACUCUAAUGUACUUGUCCUCUUGCUCAGUUGUGCACCGGGGCCUCCCACUCUUCUUUCUAUUCUGGUUAGAGCCAGUUUGCGCUGUUCUGUGAAGGGAGUAGUACACAGAGUUGUACGAGAUCUUCAGUUUCUUGGCAAUUUCUCGCAUGGAAUAGCCUUCAUUUCUCAGAACAAGAAUAGACUGACGAGUUUCAGAAGAAAUGUAUUUGUUUCAGAUACUGCUCCAGAUACUCAACUAGUCUAAAAUUAAAUUAAAUAAUAAAAUAAAUUCAUUAAAAAUCCUACAAUGGGAUUUUCUUUUCUCAUUUUGUCUGUCAUAGUUGAAGUGUACCUAUGAUGAAAACUACAGGCCUCUCUCGUCUUUUUAAGUGGGAGAACUUGCACAAUUGGUGGCUGACUAAAUACAUUUUUGCCCCACUGUAUAAAUGUGUGUGAUGGGAUGUAUAGACAUUAUGGACAGUAUAUGGAUAGAAUAUGUAGUAUAUCUGAAGAAUACGUGUUUUGACUAGUAUGUCGAGUGCAUUCAGAGAGUAUUCAGAGUGCAUUCAGAGAGUAUUCAGAGUGCAUUCAGAGAGUAUUCAGAGUGCAUUCAGAGAGUAUUCAGAGUGCAUUCAGAGAGCAUUCAGAGAGUAUUCAGAGAGCAUUCAGAGUAUUCAGAGAGCAUUCAGAGAGUAUUCAGAGAGCAUUCAGAGAGCAUUCAGAGUAUUCAGAGAGCAUUCAGAGUGCAUUCAGAGAGUAUUCAGAGUGCAUUCAGAGAGUAUUCACAGAGUAUUCAGACCCUUUGACUUUUUGCACCACAUUUUGUUACAUUACAGCCUUAUUCUAAACCUGAUUAAAUAGUUCUAUCAAUCUACACACAAUAUCCCAUAAUGACAAAGCGAAAAACAUGUAUUUUUUUAUUUUUGCAAAUGUAUUAAAAUAAAAAUACUGAAAUCCCUGAUUUAUAUUUUAAGUAUUCAGACGCUUUGGAAUGAGACUCGAAAUUGAGCUCAGGUAAAUCCAUGUUUCCAUCUCUCAUCCUUGAGAUGUUUCUUCAACUUGAUUGGAGUCCACCUGUGGUAAAUUCACUUGAUUGGACAUGAUUUGAAAAGGCCUGUCUGUAUAAGGUCCUACAGUUGACAGUGUAUGUCAGAGCAAAAACCAAGUCAUGAGGUCGAAAGAAUUGUCCUUAGAGCUCCGAGACAGGAUUUUGUCAAGGCACAGAUUUGGGGAAGGGUACCAAAAAAUGAUUGCAAAAUUGAAGGUCCCCAAGAACACAGUGGCCACCAUCAUUCUUAAAUGAAAGAAGUUUGGAACCACCAAGACUCUUCCCAGAGCUCUAAGGUGCAGGGUUGAGUAACUUGUGGCAGCCAGCUAGUGACAGUGGCUAAGUUCAGAGCGGGCGGUACUGGGCGGGGGCCGGCUAGUGGUGACUAUUUAACAGUCUGAUGGCCUUGAGAUAGAAGCUGUUUUUCAGUCUCUCAGUCCCAGCUUUGAUGCACCUGUACUGACCUCGCCUUCUGGAUGAUAACGGGGUAAACAGGCAGUGGCUCGGGUGGUUGAUGUCCUUGAUGGUCUUCUUGGCCUUCCUGUGACAUCGGGUGGUGUAGGUGUCCUGGAGAGCAGGUAUGCAGGUGUGCCCCCGGUGAUGCGUUGUGCAGACCUCACUACCCUCUGGAGAGUCCUGCCGUUGCGGACGGAGCAGUUGCCGUACCAGGCAGCGAUACAGCCCGACAGGAUAUUGUCAAUGGUGCAUCUGUAAAAGUUUACGAGGAUCUUAGGGGCAAAGCUCAGGAGGCUGAAGAGGCACUGUUACGCCUUCUUCACCACACUGUCUGUGUGGGUGGACCAUUUCAGAGCAUCAGAGCGUCAGUGAUGUAUACGCAGAGUAACUUGAAGAUUUCCACCUUCUCCACUGCGGUCCCGUCGAUGUGGAUAGGGCUGUGCUCCCUCUGCUGUUUCCUGAAGUCCACGAUCAGCUCCUUUG
ensembl:lncRNA